UUUUGAUGUGGACAAUGGCACAUCUGCGGGACGGAGUCCCUUGGAUCCCAUGACCAGCCCAGGAUCCGGGCUAAUUCUCCAAGCAAAUUUUGUCCACAGUCAACGACGGGAGUCCUUCCUGUAUCGAUCCGACAGCGAUUAUGACCUCUCUCCAAAGUCUAUGUCCCGGAACUCCUCCAUUGCCAGUGAUAUACACGGAGAUGACUUGAUUGUGACUCCAUUUGCUCAGGUCUUGGCCAGUCUGCGAACUGUACGAAACAACUUUGCUGCAUUAACUAAUUUGCAAGAUCGAGCACCUAGCAAAAGAUCACCCAUGUGCAACCAACCAUCCAUCAACAAAGCCACCAUAACAGUAUUUUCCAUGCACCUUAUAUAUGGCAUGCAUAGGCUCUGGAGGUAAAAUGUGACUACUGGUUCAAAAAAUUUACAAAACCCUCCCUUACUGUUUCUCUUUACUGGAAACUGUUGAGGGUACUGGAAAUAAAGGAGAAGGCCAAUGUAUCUAAGACCAGUGGAUCAGAGAGGAGCCCAAGAACCUUCAUCAUUUCCACAGAAAGGGCAGCAGAGGAAAUUAACCUGGCCUUUUGUCAUGCUAUUAUUUCUCAAGAUCCAGAUGGUACCUGUCAUUAAUGUAUCCCUGAGAACUCAGUUCCUCUGAAGGCACAAAAAUAAUUUGACCAUCUCAUCAUUUGAUCCACACAUAUUUAUU
rnacentral:sRNA from 1 species